CGGCCUAGUCCGGGCCUCGUGGGCGGGAAAGGCGGGCGCUGCUUCUCUGUCGCUUGUUGUUGCUUAGGGGGCACCGCCCGACCUUCGUCCCUAAGGCCUGUGUCCGCAGACACAGAAGAUCUCGCGGACGGGCGAUUGCGGAGGGCGCGCGGCUGCUGUCUGCAGAAUGAAUGGGGUGAAUGAAUGAGGGUGCGCGUGCCCGAGGCCCGGCUUGCGUCAGCCAUGCGUACUAGGCAUGGACACGGCCUGGGAUUCAUGCGUGGGGUUUUGUGGUCCUAGCUGUGGACGGGACCGGAUGCAGUUAGUCCAAGCGUUCUGCACCCCGGAGCCCUUCCUCUGUUGCAUAGUCCGAGUAAUCCAUUUCUCAGAAAAGACCCCACCCAGGCUCCCUCCGGAGCAGCAAUGGACCAGGGAGGGAUCCUCACAGGCCUGGAGAAAUAACAGAUUAGGCCUGCUGAGAGCCAAGUUCCACUCCCCAAAGCACUAGCAAAUACAGAUGCUGCUAGGAAAAUAGAAAAUGUAUCUCUGAUGACCAGAGCUUGGGGCCCUGCUGUUACUUUGUACUAUGCAAUCUAAAAGGAGCCGAGGUGUGGAAGAUGGGAAAAUGGUUGUGUGUGCUACAAAGACUAUUACGUAACGUUAACAUAGUAUUGUGUGAUGGAAUGCCAGUUACAUGUUUAUAUAAAUACAAAAUUACUAUAUUGUUGGGUGUGUGUAACAAGUCAGUUCCAAGGGGCUAUACUGUGAACCGUGUUCAAUAGAGGUUAGAAAGGGUGGUGAUCACUUUAGGAGAAAACUGUUAACCCACCUAGUUCCAGUUCGGUAGGUUGCUGGGUGAUGAGAGCACCAGCGACCCUCUCCCCUGGAGAACUUACCACAAAGUUACUGUCCGGGCAUCUAGCCUGCAGAACGGCAUCAUCAGGUGGCUUGGUUUAUGUUACUAACUAGCUGACCCAAACUUAGAAUUUACAAAGACCCUCAUUCUAGGAGGCAGAGAGAAACAAGAAACUACACUCAAGCCGGCGUAGGCGCCGCUUUUCUGCCAUCAUCGCCCAGUCUCCAGGUUUACAGCUGCUGGCUGGUUUACAGCGUUGUGUUUGCCAUCCAAUGUGAACUGCAAACCUAUUCUUAGCCUGAACUUUAAAACUUGGCAGCUGCUUAGCAUGUAUGAGAACUGGGGCGGGGGUGGGGGUCGGGAGGCAGCUAUAGACAGGUUAAUUUGUACAGCCUAGGGGAAAAGUUGCGGUUGUGGAAGGGAUUGUAGCUUGUGAGAGUUAGUCUAUAGGGUUUAGGGUUGCCUAGCACACAAACCUCUGGGUGUGUCUCUUGUACUCACGGAGAGGUUUAACUGAACCUGGGCUGUAUGCUAGACUGAAUAGGAAGGAGAAAGGGAACUGAACACCAGCCUCCAUCUCUCUGCUUCCUGGCACCUCACGCUCCUGCUGCCGUGCCUUCUACCUUCCACAGAUAUAAUAGAUUGUACCACUGAAACUGUGAGCCAAAACUAAACUAACUAAAAAUUGCUUUUUAUCAAGUAUUUUUGUCAUAGCAAUGUGCAAAAUAGCUAAUUACAUUUUCUUCUAAAUCCCCAAAUCUCUUGUUUAAUUUGUAUUUGAGAUAACCCCUGUCAGCUCCUGUGAUGGACAUCUCGUUCUCCACCAAUGGUGCUGUUUUAGACUUGCGACCUAGUGUGUGUCUGGGGGCGAGGGGUCAACCUUGAAGCAUAUAUCCUGUAGUAUUUAGUCACAGUGCGAAGCUUCGAGCUCCCACCACCAUGGAGUGAGACCCAACGCCAUGCCAUCCUGCCGUGAUGGACUGUAUCCCCCGUGAACCAAGGUGCCUGCCGUGAUUUGUUGCCUGCUCACAGGCCCAAAGCAGUGAACCAGCCAACCGACCACAGGCUGAAUCCUUGAAACCCACAUAGUAUAUGUCCAUGGUCCCAGGAUAUAGGAGGCCAAUACAGGAGGAUCAGAAGUUCAUGUCAUCCUCAGCUACACAGAGGUUUGAGGCCAGCCUGGGCUCCAGGAGAUUUGUCUCAAAAGAAACAAAGCAAAACAAAAGACUACCCCCACAACCUAAAAGCAUCUAUCUUUAGAGUUUAAAUGUAUACAUAAUAAAUAAAUAAAUGUUUUAAAAAAAUAUUCUUUAGGGCUGGAGAGAUGGCUCAGAGGUUAAGAGCACUGUCUGCUCUUCCAGAGGUCCUGAGUUCAAUUCCAAGCAACCACAUGGUGGCUCACAACCAUCUAUAAUCAGAUCUGGUGCCCUCUUCUGGCCUGCAGGAAUACAUGCAGGCAGAAAGCUGUAUGAUGUAUACAUAGUAAAUAAAUAAAUGUUUAAAAAAAUA
ensembl:lncRNA